AGAGUUUGAUCCUGGCUCAGGAUGAACGCUAGCGGCAGGCCUAACACAUGCAAGUCGAGGGGCAUCACGAGGUAGCAAUACUUUGGUGGCGACCGGCGCACGGGUGCGUAACGCGUAUGUAACCUACCUAUAACAGGGGCAUAACACUGAGAAAUUGGUACUAAUUCCCCAUAAUAUUCGGAGAGGCAUCUCUCCGGGUUGAAAACUCCGGUGGUUAUAGAUGGACAUGCGUUGUAUUAGCUAGUUGGUGAGGUAACGGCUCACCAAGGCAACGAUACAUAGGGGGACUGAGAGGUUAACCCCCCACACUGGUACUGAGACACGGACCAGACUCCUACGGGAGGCAGCAGUGAGGAAUAUUGGUCAAUGGACGCAAGUCUGAACCAGCCAUGCCGCGUGCAGGAUGACGGCUCUAUGAGUUGUAAACUGCUUUUGUACGAGGGUAAACUCACCUACGUGUAGGUGACUGAAAGUAUCGUACGAAUAAGGAUCGGCUAACUCCGUGCCAGCAGCCGCGGUAAUACGGAGGAUUCAAGCGUUAUCCGGAUUUAUUGGGUUUAAAGGGUGCGUAGGCGGUUUGAUAAGUUAGAGGUGAAAUCCCGGGGCUUAACUCCGGAACUGCCUCUAAUACUGUUAGACUAGAGAGUAGUUGCGGUAGGCGGAAUGUAUGGUGUAGCGGUGAAAUGCUUAGAGAUCAUACAGAACACCGAUUGCGAAGGCAGCUUACCAAACUAUAUCUGACGUUGAGGCACGAAAGCGUGGGGAGCAAACAGGAUUAGAUACCCUGGUAGUCCACGCAGUAAACGAUGAUAACUCGUUGUCGGCGAUACACAGUCGGUGACUAAGCGAAAGCGAUAAGUUAUCCACCUGGGGAGUACGUUCGCAAGAAUGAAACUCAAAGGAAUUGACGGGGGCCCGCACAAGCGGAGGAACAUGUG
rnacentral:rRNA from 1 species